rnacentral:rRNA from 1 species
GACAGAGGGUGCAAACGUUGUUCGGAAUUACUGGGCGUAAAGCGCGUGUAGGCUGCUCUGAAAGUCGGAUGUGAAAGCCCUGGGCUCAACCUAGGAAGUGCACUCGAUACUACAGAGCUUGAGUUCCGGAGAGGAAGGCGGAAUUCUCGGUGUAGAGGUGAAAUUCGUAGAUAUCGAGAGGAACACCGGUGGCGAAGGCGGCCUUCUGGACGGUGACUGACGCUGAGACGCGAAAGCGUGGGGAGCAAAC